rnacentral:lncRNA from 1 species
GGUAGAGCAGAGGUUUGAGAUCAGGUGUGAAACCUUGCAAAAGAGUCAUUUUCCAGUUUCAGUGUUGCUGGAAUAUCACCACUGGGCAGAGGUGAGGCUUAAGCUCCAAACUUCCCCUUAAACUGUGUAGAAUUGGCACCUCAGGCUUACAGCCCUUGCCUUGCCUCCCACUGGAACACCGAAGAGAGAUGGAAAGGGGCGCACACGGAGGACACUCAGAACAGUCUGUAAGAUUCAACUUAUCUAAGAAACUGCUUGCAACUGAACUUUGAUAGGCACGACUGUGGUGGCAAGAGAGAGAAGCAGUUUGAGGAAGUGCGUCUAGAAGAUACUUAAAAAGGAAUAGAGAGGAAGUUCUCUGCCAUGCAUAUGCAAAUUCC